AUUCCAGCUCCAAUAGCGUAUAUUAAAGUUGUUGCAGUUAAAAAGCUCGUAGUUGGAGUUCAGAUUGAGCUCGGCCGGUCGGCCUAAUUGGUCAGAACUGGUUGACUCUGUCUUGUUUGUGGAUCCCUCCGGAGUUAACUCUUCGGAUGUGGAGUCCACAUCGUUUACCUUGAAAAAAUUAGAGUGUUCAAAGCAGGCGUUUGCUUGAAUAUAUUAGCAUGGAAUAAUGGAAUAGGACUUUGGUCUUAUUUUGUUGGUUUCUAAGGCCGAGGUAAUGAUUAAUAGGAGCAGUUGGGGAUGUCCGUAUUCGAUUGUCAGAGGUGAAAUUCUUGGAUUUAUUGAAGACGAACUACUGCGAAAGCAUUCAUCAAGGAUGUUUUCAUUG
rnacentral:rRNA from 1 species